UGUGAUGGGGAGCGAAAUUUAGUAGCGAAGUAGCUGAUUUCACACUGUCAAGAAAAGUCUCUAUCGAGGUUAAAGGUACCCGUACCGCAAACCGACACAGGUGGGGGAGGAGAGUAUCCUAAGGCCAGCGAGAGAACUGUUGUUAAGGAACUCGGCAAAAUGACCCCGUAACUUAGGGAUAAGGGGUGCCACCAUCAGGUGGCCGCAGAGAAUAGGCCCAAGCGACUGUUUAC
rnacentral:rRNA from 1 species